rnacentral:rRNA from 1 species
UACAGAGGGGGCAAGCGUUGUUCGGAAUUACUGGGCGUAAAGGGCUCGUAGGUGGCCAACUAAGUCAGACGUGAAAUCCCCUCGGCUUAACCGGGGAACUGCGUCUGAUACUGGAUGGCUUGAGUUCGGGAGAGGGAUGCGGAAUUCCAGGUGUAGCGGUGAAAUGCGUAGAUAUCUGGAGGAAUACCGGUGGCGAAGGCGGCAUCCUGGACCGAGAUUGACACUGAUGAGCGAAAGCCAGGGGAGCAAACGGG